rnacentral:sRNA from 1 species
UGCCAGUCGCAACAAUAGUACCACCGCCACUACCACCUUCAGGACCUAAGUCUAUAAUAUAGUCUGCUGUUUUGAUAACAUCUAGGUUAUGUUCAAUAAUUACAACAGUAUCACCAUUUUCAACUAAUCGGUUUAAUACUUUUAAUAAUCUACUAAUAUCGUCAACAUGUAACCCUGUUGUCGGUUCAUCUAGGAUAUAAAUAGAUUUACCAGUUGAACGUUUAUGAAG